rnacentral:lncRNA from 1 species
GAGAGUAGAAUUUACCAGAGAUAGAUCAAGUUUGGAGAGAGUAAAAUCGAGUCAGAAAACAAUCUUCAGAGAGAGGGAGAGAGAGAUCGAUUCGGAGUUAGAGAGAUCCAUGGAGAUAAAGUGAUGGAGUUGGAGUUGUUGAGAGAGAGCGAUGAAGAUUUUCGUGAGAGAGAGAGAGAACGCGUGUGAAGAAUGACGAGGAAUUUGCAAAAUUUUCUUAUUUUGGGUGGAAUUGUAAAUUCUCUGGAAUUUGUCUCUUAAAAU